rnacentral:rRNA from 1 species
AAAAAUGCACAUGCUGUGAGCUCGAUGAGUAGGGCGGGACACGUGGUAUCCUGUCUGAAUAUGGGGGGACCAUCCUCCAAGGCUAAAUACUCCUGACUGACCGAUAGUGAACCAGUACCGUGAGGGAAAGGCGAAAAGAACCCCGGCGAGGGGAGUGAAAAAGAACCUGAAACCGUGUACGUACAAGCAGUGGGAGCACAGAGCAAUCUGUGUGACUGCGUACCUUUUGUAUAAUGGGUCAGCGACUUAUAUUCUGUAGCAAGGUUAACCGAAUAGGGGAGCCGAAGGGAAACCGAGUCUUAACUGGGCGUUAAGUUGCAGGGUAUAGACCCGAAACCCGGUGAUCUAGCCAUGGGCAGGUUGAAGGUUGGGUAACACUAACUGGAGGACCGAACCGACUAAUGUUGAAAAAUUAGCGGAUGACUUGUGGCUGGGGGUGAAAGGCCAAUCAAACCGGGAGAUAGCUGGUUCUCCCCGAAAGCUAUUUAGGUAGCGCCUCGUGAAUUCAUCUCCGGGGGUAGAGCACUGUUUCGGCAAGGGGGUCAUCCCGACUUACCAACCCGAUGCAAACUGCGAAUACCGGAGAAUGUUAUCACGGGAGACACACGGCGGGUGCUAACGUCCGUCGUGAAGAGGGAAACAACCCAGACCGCCAGCUAAGGUCCCAAAGUCAUGGUUAAGUGGGAAACGAUGUGGGAAGGCCCAGACAGCCAGGAUGUUGGCUUAGAAGCAGCCAUCAUUUAAAGAAAGCGUAAUAGCUCACUGGUCGAGUCGGCCUGCGCGGAAGAUGUAACGGGGCUAAACCAUGCACCGAAGCUGCGGCAGCGACACUGUGUGUUGUUGGGUAGGGGAGCGUUCUGUAAGCCUGUGAAGGUGUGCUGUGAGGCAUGCUGGAGGUAUCAGAAGUGCGAAUGCUGACAUAAGUAACGAUAAAGCGGGUGAAAAGCCCGCUCGCCGGAAGACCAAGGGUUCCUGUCCAACGUUAAUCGGGGCAGGGUGAGUCGACCCCUAAGGCGAGGCCGAAAGGCGUAGUCGAUGGGAAACAGGUUAAUAUUCCUGUACUUGGUGUUACUGCGAAGGGGGGACGGAGAAGGCUAUGUUGGCCGGGCGACGGUUGUCCCGGUUUAAGCGUGUAGGCUGGUUUUCCAGGCAAAUCCGGAAAAUCAAGGCUGAGGCGUGAUGACGAGGCACUACGGUGCUGAAGCAACAAAUGCCCUGCUUCCAGGAAAAGCCUCUAAGCAUCAGGUAACAUCAAAUCGUACCCCAAACCGACACAGGUGGUCAGGUAGAGAAUACCAAGGCGCUUGAGAGAACUCGGGUGAAGGAACUAGGCAAAAUGGUGCCGUAACUUCGGGAGAAGGCACGCUGAUAUGUAGGUGAAGUCCCUCGCGGAUGGAGCUGAAAUCAGUCGAAGAUACCAGCUGGCUGCAACUGUUUAUUAAAAACACAGCACUGUGCAAACACGAAAGUGGACGUAUACGGUGUGACGCCUGCCCGGUGCCGGAAGGUUAAUUGAUGGGGUCAGCGCAAGCGAAGCUCUUGAUCGAAGCCCCGGUAAACGGCGGCCGUAACUAUAACGGUCCUAAGGUAGCGAAAUUCCUUGUCGGGUAAGUUCCGACCUGCACGAAUGGCGUAAUGAUGGCCAGGCUGUCUCCACCCGAGACUCAGUGAAAUUGAACUCGCUGUGAAGAUGCAGUGUACCCGCGGCAAGACGGAAAGACCCCGUGAACCUUUACUAUAGCUUGACACUGAACAUUGAGCCUUGAUGUGUAGGAUAGGUGGGAGGCUUUGAAGUGUGGACGCCAGUCUGCAUGGAGCCGACCUUGAAAUACCACCCUUUAAUGUUUGAUGUUCUAACGUGGACCCGUGAUCCGGGUUGCGGACAGUGUCUGGUGGGUAGUUUGACUGGGGCGGUCUCCUCCUAAAGAGUAACGGAGGAGCACGAAGGUUGGCUAAUCCUGGUCGGACAUCAGGAGGUUAGUGCAAUGGCAUAAGCCAGCUUGACUGCGAGCGUGACGGCGCGAGCAGGUGCGAAAGCAGGUCAUAGUGAUCCGGUGGUUCUGAAUGGAAGGGCCAUCGCUCAACGGAUAAAAGGUACUCCGGGGAUAACAGGCUGAUACCGCCCAAGAGUUCAUAUCGACGGCGGUGUUUGGCACCUCGAUGUCGGCUCAUCACAUCCUGGGGCUGAAGUAGGUCCCAAGGGUAUGGCUGUUCGCCAUUUAAAGUGGUACGCGAGCUGGGUUUAGAACGUCGUGAGACAGUUCGGUCCCUAUCUGCCGUGGGCGCUGGAGAACUGAGGGGGGCUGCUCCUAGUACGAGAGGACCGGAGUGGACGCAUCACUGGUGUUCGGGUUGUCAUGCCAAUGGCACUGCCCGGUAGCUAAAUGCGGAAGAGAUAAGUGCUGAAAGCAUCUAAGCACGAAACUUGCCCCGAGAUGAGUUCUCCCUGACCCUUUAAGGGUCCUGAAGGAACGUUGAAGACGACGACGUUGAUAGGCCGGGUGUGUAAGCGCAGCGAUGCGUUGAGCUAACCGGUACUAAUGAACCGUGAGGCUUAACCUUACAACGCCGAAGGUGUUU